rnacentral:lncRNA from 1 species
CCCAUACUUCUUCACCUUCUUUCAACAGUUCAUCUUCUUCCACUUUCCAUGGCCUUUUGUUAUCAAUUGGACAACUAGCAACGAUGAUCUUGUUCCUUCAAUUUACCAAUGACCACUUACAAUUCUCCUUCUUGUGUUCGAUCUUUUUGCUGCAGAUUUAAGGUUCAAUUUUUUCGAAUACCACUAAAUACAUACAAUUAAAUAUUGACUUCAUUUUUAGUAAUCCAAAUACUAGUAUCAGAUGUAAGAAUAAUAUCUUUCUUUUAUUUCACAUGAGUUAUUCUAAAUACUAAGUAUUUCAGAAUGUUUUUCGCAGUUGCUCAAACCGAAGACCUCUAACUGGAACUUUCUUUUCAAGCAGUAACCAACAACUAAAGAUUUUAGCAUCCCUUUUGAUAAUUAUGUUCAUAGUUUUCAGUAAAGUCUCCCGAUAACUAUAGGUUAUGUGGAUAUUCAUCAUCUUUAGAGAUUGCUGAACCGGUUUGCUUAUAUUUCUUAGUUGAACUCCAUCUAAACACCUAAAUAAUAUAUUACUCUAAAUGCAGAGCAGUCUCAUCCAAUGCACAUAUUAUUGUCUUGUUAUUUUCUAAUACCUAAUUCUUAAUAACAAUUUUUGGAUUCCACAAAAUAAUUAUAAACUAUAGAAGUUUUAAACUCACUGCUGCACUUGAUAGACACAGUAUCAUAUUGAUGGUAAUCAUGGUUCUCAUUCUAGGUGUUACUAAUUCAAUUAGACACAAACAAUUUCAAAUUUUCUUGAUUUGCUUUGCUACCUGUCUUCUCACCCAGUUGAAUACAUGAAUAAACACGAAUACAUCUUGAAUGAGAAACAAAUACAAAAUCAGAGACAAGAUGGUUGAUUUCGUACUUACCUCAGUAGGAAUAUGAGUGGAAAGGCUAAUGUUGCAGGUUGCACGACUGCAGCAUAACUGAGACUUUGAAAGUACCUAAUAAGACCUACAACUAUAUACGAACAAUUGAAACUAUGGAGGAAAAGCUUACAAUUUGAAACCCUAAUUCUGAUUUGAUGAAGGCUAUUCAGACAUAAUUCGAAGCUUCGCCGGUGACCGGAACACUGAA